rnacentral:rRNA from 1 species
GAUGAACGCUGGCUACAGGCUUAACACAUGCAAGUCGAGGGGAAACGACGGGGAAGCUUGCUUCCCCGGGCGUCGACCGGCGCACGGGUGAGUAACGCGUAUCCAACCUGCCUCUGACUGGGGGAUAACCCGUCGAAAGUCGGCCUAAUACCUCAUGGCAUCGUCUGCGGGCAUCCAACGACGAUUAAAGAUUUCAUCGGUCAGAGAUGGGGAUGCGUCUGAUUAGCUUGUUGGCGGGGUAACGGCCCACCAAGGCGACGAUCAGUAGGGGUUCUGAGAGGAAGGUCCCCCACAUUGGAACUGAGACACGGUCCAAACUCCUACGGGAGGCAGCAGUGAGGAAUAUUGGUCAAUGGGCGAGAGCCUGAACCAGCCAAGUAGCGUGCAGGAUGACGGCCCUAUGGGUUGUAAACUGCUUUUAUGCGGGGAUAAAGUGAGGGACGUGUCCUUCAUUGCAGGUACCGCAUGAAUAAGGACCGGCUAAUUCCGUG